rnacentral:Y_RNA from 1 species
GGAUGGUCUGAGUGCAGUGGUGCUUACAACUAAUUGAUCACAACCAGUUACAGAUUCCUUUGUUCCUUCUCCACUCCCCUGCUUCACUUGACCAGCCUGAA